rnacentral:rRNA from 1 species
CGUCAGCUCGUGUCGUGAGAUGUUGGGUUAAGUCCCGUAACGAGCGCAACCCUUGUCCAUAGUUGCCAGCGAGUAAUGUCGGGAACUCUAAGGGGACUGCCGGUGACAAACCGGAGGAAGGUGGGGAUGACGUCAAGUCAUCAUGGCCCUUAUGGCCAGGGCUACACACGUGCUACAAUGGCUAGUACAAAGGGUUGCCAACUCGCGAGAGUGCGCUAAUCCCAUAAAGCUAGUCGUAGUCCGGAUCGGAGUCUGCAACUCGACUCCGUGAAGUCGGAAUCGCUAGUAAUCGCGGAUCAGAAUGCCGCGGUGAAUACGUUCCCGGGCCUUGUACACACCGCCCGUCACACCAUGGGAGUGGGUUGCAAAAGAAGUAGGUAGUCUAACCUUCGGGAGGACGCUUACCACUUUGUGAUUCAUGACUGGGGUGAAGUCGUAACAAGGUAGCCGUAGGGGAACCUGCGGCUGGAUCACCUCCUUU